UCGAGAAUUUUUCUCAAUGGGGGAAACCCUGAAGGAGCGACGCCGCGUGGAGGAUGAAGGUCUUCGGAUUGUAAACUCCUGUCAUUUGGGAACAAACUGCACGGAUUAACUGUCUGUGCACUGAUAGUACCAGAAGAGGAAGAGACGGCUAACUCUGUGCCAGCAGCCGCGGUAAUACAGAGGUCUCGAGCGUUGUUCGGAUUCAUUGGGCGUAAAGGGUGCGUAGGUGGCUUGGUAAGUCGGAUGUGAAAUCCCGGGGCUCAACCCCGGAACUGCAUUCGAUACUGCUUUAGCUUGAGUCCUGGAGAGGAGAUCGGAAUUUACGGUGUAGCAGUGAAAUGCGUAGAUAUCGUAAGGAAGACCAGUGGCGAAGGCGGAUCUCUGGACAGGAACUGACACUGAGGCACGAAGGCCAGGGGAGCAAACG
rnacentral:rRNA from 1 species